CAUUCCUUUCCUUAGGAAACUCUUAUAUAUGUAGCUAUUCUUUGAAAUUUUAUAUGAUACUGUGUGGCUUGAUUUUGAUUUCUCAUUAUUCUUUUUGCAUCGAGCAGCUUGCGAUGAUUUCCAAAAAUGACCCACUUACAUGCAUUGACUGCCAGUUGGAGACAUUCAAGAGACAACUAAUGCAGUCGCGAAAUGAUGAUAAGUCUCAUCUGUAACAUUUUUUCGAUCAUGGUGGUUGAUAACUCUUACACUGAGUUUGUUUUCUACCUUGGUCUUUUAUUGACGAUGAGUGCUACUAGUGGACAUCGCUCACACCUGGUAUUUAAUGGGUAAGUACACUGCUUGUUUUCAUUCUUAAAAGGUGUGUCAUUGUUUUGGGGGUGUUCAUUGUUGUGUUGAGUUAUUGAAUAGUCGUUUAAUUCUUAUUCUUGUGUUUUCUGAUGACCUACAUAGAGAUUUGGUCUUCCAGCAUGGAGUCCGCGUGGUAGACAAACAAUGGAGAACUAAUGUUGAACUCUGAUGGGCGUACCAGGUAUAAAUCAAAUCCCUGACUAUAUGGCAUCGGAGCCUUAUUGUUUGUUUCAGAGUCAUCACCCUGAGAUGGAGAUAUAUGUUAUUUUGGUACCGUAUGGGAUCAGAAUGUGAUUGUUUAUUUCAGAGUUAUAGCCCUAAGAUGGCGAUGUGUGUUCUAUUGGUUUGCAGAUUUUUACCUGUAAAUCUAAUUGGUUGUGCUUCCUUUGAAAGACUCUCUAUGUGGUGAAAGCUUCUUUGUGUACCUCUCUCAUCCAUGGAGUUGAUUGCUAACUUCUUAGG